UUGGGGAUUGGGUUUUAACACAGAUUUUGGGGGGUAUACCACAGUCUAUAGCAACAACUAUGAGGUCAUCUGUUCUCAUCAUAUGACUCUUUCAUCAAGAGUUGCCAGCUUUAACGUUUGUCGAGAACCAGAAAGCUUAAAGCCACGCAGCAAAUGCCUCUUCUCACUUUGCCCAACUUUCAUCCUGAAAUGCAGCUGAAGACUGGGAGAGGUGGUGAUCAAAUACCAUGAAGUAACAGAAAUGACGCGUGAACUAUGUAUAAAGAAGAGCGAUGUCCUGAAGUCUAGAUUCAGUGCGUAUUGUCCAGGAGGAAGCAGACCAAGAUUUUUAGCCCAAGAUCUGCUGCGGGGCACUGAGGAGCUAUAGAAUUUCAGGCAGAAGAUACAGACUUUUAGAAAAAAAUUAUUCAAACAAUGAACAGGAGGAGACAAUACAGUGGGGUGAUUCAGCAGCAAGUCAAACUGAAGCCUGACCUGAACCCAAGAAGUGACAGAAGUGGCACUGACUGGAAUUUGGUAAAGGCAUCUCUGUAGACACCAAAAUAAACAGAAAUGGGUUAUUUAUAGAGUUAGAUAUAUUGCACACCUAUAUCUGCAUAUGUGUACAUAGAUAUACAAAUAAAUAUAGUGAUAAGUAUUAGCAACAUGGUGGUUGAAAGGAUGGCCCAUGUUUAGGUCUUGGCUAAACUGAAGGAAUAGGGCAUGAAAAAUCAAUUAAGGGCACAUCAGAGGAGAAACCAUUAGGGAUGGAAUGGGGGAAGCAUAUAGCAAGUUCAUUUCUGAACAUGUUAAAUUAAAUAGCUCUGUCCAACUACUAAGAACACAAACUAGAAUUCUGGAGCAAAGCAAGCAAGCAAUUGUACUGAAUCUCUAGUGGGAGAAAGAAGAGAGCUGUCUGUAAACAGUGGGUGGCAGAGUUUUAAGGGAACUCAC
rnacentral:lncRNA from 1 species